AAUUCAUCAACCCACCGGUUUGGGGCAACCCGAACGCGGAGGUUGGAUAUGGGUCCCGUUUGCGCCUGGCGCAAUGGCCUGAAAUACAAUGUCAUGGAAUCAUUGGACGCCUGUCCGGUUUCAAGCGCAUGAAAGGGAUUCUUCUCUGAAGUACGUCUUGAGCAGCCGUUCUGGGAUUCGAGCCUUUGGUGCUGUGGACUCACCUAUCAUCCAGCAGGGGUCCUUAACGGGGUCCCUCUGAAC
rnacentral:misc_RNA from 1 species